rnacentral:tRNA from 1 species
GGUCCAGUGGCGGAACCGGUAUACGCGCAGCACUUAAAAUGCUGUCUGCCAAAAGCGGGUGAGGGUUCGAGUCCCUCCUGGACCA